UACUGUGUAUGAAAUUAAAAUUAGCACAUCCCUUUAAAACCAAACAUAUGAAUCAAGAAGGACAUUGAAAAGAUUUAUUUCAUUAAACCGAUUGAAGAAACACCGUAAAAGGUUGAGCGAUGGAGAUUAAAAGAAGAAAACCGAAUUCGAGAGAAAGAAUACAAGAGAAUUCUUUUAAUUCAUUUUUCUUUAAUUCAAGUUGGUCUGAGCAAUGGAAUGGAGUUCGGGAGAGAGAAAUCGAUAGAAAAGGAGGAAGGAG
rnacentral:lncRNA from 1 species